GUCUAAAUUCACUAUACUGCAGAACACAUUUAUAAUAUAAUAUGCAUGGAUAAAUUUCAUUUAAAGCAACAAAUGUUUAUUUCCCUUAUGUAAAAUUAGGGCAUAUGUUUUAAAGUGGUACAUGACACACAGUUCAUGACACAUUUUGUCUUUGCAGAGUAGUAUAUAUUUACAUCUUACUAGUAGCAAGAAUCUCAGCGUACAAUUUGAUUUUCCACUUUCAUGUUUAGCAAUUGCCCCAAGCUUGAGGGUAUUUUUUUUUAAAUACAGAAUAUAUGAACACUUAUUCAAAACACAAUAAUUAGACAGAUGCCAUCUCAUUAUUUAUAUCAAGUUUAUUAUUGUGUUGUUAUAUAACUUUUGGUUAAUAGAAAAUAUUGGUUUUCAUUGAUAAUAAUUCUUUGCCCUGACAUUUCAGAGCAUAUCCAAUAAAAAUGCAUAACAUUUGUAGUUUAAUUCCCAAAAUGUAGAAAAGUGUGAUUAAUUCAUGUUAUACGCCCAAACAUGUACUAUAGAAACAAGUACACAUGGUUAAAAUCUUCACAAUAUAUAAUUAUUACCUUCGCUGUAUGGGGCAAAACUAUUUUUGUCCUCAAUGCUCUUCAACUUGUACUUUAUUUGGCCUUUUUAACCUUUUUUUGAUUCGAGCGUCACUGAUGAAUCUUUUGUAGACGAAACACAUGUCUGGCGCAAAUACAAAAUUUCAAUUCUGGUAUCUAUGAUGAGUUUAUUUGCAUAUGAUUUAUUACAAAUUAUGUAAAAUGUCAUUUCAUAACUAAAUAUGUUACAUUAUAUAAUGUAUGUACAAGAAAGCCUGAUCUUACUAUCAUAUAUGAAUGCAACCUCCACAAUUUAGUAUUCAUAUUUCAUGGAUGUAUAUAUAUCCUUACUUAUAAUGGUUUUCUUUUACAAAUUGUGACUUGGAUAGAGAUUUGUCUCAAACCACAUCUUCUUACAUCUACUUAUAAACUUUUUCUCAGGUAAAUGGUAAUUGUUUUUACAUCCUUCAUACAGUGAUUUGCUUGUAAGAUUAGACAAAGCUACACAAAAUAGAAGAUGAUUUUUUUUUCACAAUAAUCUUUUAAAAUAGCAUUUAAAUUCAUUUGCACAUGAAAAAUCCAAUGAAAUAUAUGUUAUAUGAGGAGACAACCCAAUAAAACAAUAAAAGCACUGUGUUGCAGCAUCAUGUCAUUGUCACCAAAGUGAUUAACCCAAGAAUGUUAACUCACAUUUAAUGACAUUUAAAUUCUGAAAACUUCAGCCAGACCCUCAUAUUAAGUAUAAAUUAUAUAUAUGAUAAUAUAUAAUUAUAUAUAUGAUAAUAUAUAAUUACUGCUAAAUGAGGAUUUUUAAUGAUUUUAUUAUUCCUAAAAUAACAACGAAUGUGC
rnacentral:lncRNA from 1 species